UGGGGAAUAUUGGACAAUGGGCGAAAGCCUGAUCCAGCCAUGCCGCGUGUGUGAAGAAGGCCUUUUGGUUGUAAAGCACUUUAAGCGAGGAGGAGGCUACUUGGAUUAAUACUCUAGGAUAGUGGACGUUACUCGCAGAAUAAGCACCGGCUAACUCUGUGCCAGCAGCCGCGGUAAUACAGAGGGUGCGAGCGUUAAUCGGAUUUACUGGGCGUAAAGCGUGCGUAGGCGGCUUCUUAAGUCGGAUGUGAAAUCCCUGAGCUUAACUUAGGAAUUGCAUUAGAUACUGGGAAGCUAGAGUAUGAGAGAGGAUGGUAGAAUUCCAGGUGUAGCGGUGAAAUGCGUAGAGAUCUGGAGGAAUACCGAUGGCGAAGGCAGCCAUCUGGCCUAAUACUGACGCUGAGGUACGAAAGCAUGGGGAGCAAACAGG
rnacentral:rRNA from 1 species